UGGACAUGAUGACCCGACCACUUCAGGUCUC
rnacentral:sRNA from 1 species